rnacentral:rRNA from 1 species
GACGAACGCUGGCGGCGUGCCUAAUACAUGCAAGUCGAGCGAAGUUUUUCUGGUGCUUGCACUAGAAAAACUUAGCGGCGAACGGGUGAGUAACACGUAAAGAACCUGCCUCAUAGACUGGGACAACUAUUGGAAACGAUAGCUAAUACCGGAUAACAGUAUUUCUCGCAUGAGAGAUAUUUAAAAGUUGGUUAUGCUAACACUAUGAGAUGGCUUUGCGGUGCAUUAGCUAGUUGGUGGGGUAAAGGCCCACCAAGGCGACGAUGCAUAGCCGACCUGAGAGGGUGAUCGGCCACACUGGGACUGAGACACGGCCCAGACUCCUACGAGAGGCAGCAGUAGGGAAUCUUCCGCAAUGGGCGAAAGCCUGACGGAGCAACGCCGCGUGAGUGAAGAAGGAUUUCGGUUCGUAAAGCUCUGUUGUUAGGGAAGAAUGGAUAUGUAGUAACUAUACAUGUAACAGACGGUACCUAACCAGAAAGCCACGGCUAACUACGUG